rnacentral:rRNA from 1 species
GACGUAGGGCGCGAGCGUUGUCCGGAUUUAUUGGGCGUAAAGAGCUCGUAGGCGGCUUGUCGCGUCGACCGUGAAAACUUGGGGCUCAACCCCAAGCCUGCGGUCGAUACGGGCAGGCUCGAGUUCGGUAGGGGAGACUGGAAUUCCUGGUGUAGCGGUGAAAUGCGCAGAUAUCAGGAGGAACACCAAUUGCGAAGGCAGCUCGCUGGGACGUUACUGACGCUGAGGAGCGAAAGCGUGGGGAGCGAACAGG